GCCACCGUAGCUCAGCUGGUAGAGCAACUGAUUCGUAAUCAGUAGGUCAGGGGUUCAAAUCCCCUCGGUGGCUCCA
rnacentral:tRNA from 1 species